AGAGAGGGAGCUUGCUUCCUCAAUCGAGUGGCGAACGGGUGAGUAACGCGUGAGGAACCUGCCUCAAAGAGGGGGACAACAGUUGGAAACGACUGCUAAUACCGCAUAAGCCCACGACCCGGCAUCGGGUUGAGGGAAAAGGAGCAAUCCGCUUUGAGAUGGCCUCGCGUCCGAUUAGCUAGUUGGUGAGGUAACGGCCCACCAAGGCAACGAUCGGUAGCCGGACUGAGAGGUUGAACGGCCACAUUGGGACUGAGACACGGCCCAGACUCCUACGGGAGGCAGCAGUGGGGAAUAUUGCACAAUGGGGGAAACCCUGAUGCAGCGACGCCGCGUGGAGGAAGAAGGUCUUCGGAUUGUAAACUCCUGUUGUUGAGGAAGAUAAUGACGGUACUCAACAAGGAAGUGACGGCUAACUACGUGCCAGCAGCCGCGGUAAAACGUAGGUCACAAGCGUUGUCCGGAAUUACUGGGUGUAAAGGGAGCGCAGGCGGGAAGACAAGUUGGAAGUGAAAUCUAUGGGCUCAACCCAUAAACUGCUUUCAAAACUGUUUUUCUUGAGUAGUGCAGAGGUAGGCGGAAUUCCCGGUGUAGCGGUGGAAUGCGUAGAUAUCGGGAGGAACACCAGUGGCGAAGGCGGCCUACUGGGCACCAACUGACGCUGAGGCUCGAAAGUGUGGGUAGCAAACAGGAUUAGAUACCCUGGUAGUCCACACCGUANACGAUGAUUACUAGGUGUUGGAGNAUUGACCCCUUCAGUGCCGCAGUUAACACAAUAAGUAAUCCACCUGGGGAGUACG
rnacentral:rRNA from 1 species